CGGGGUUUUCCUCCUUUGAACAAAUUUCGUUUGUUUGCAGUAAUAAAGCUGAAAGUCUGGAUGUCGGGAUGUCUGGAUGUCUGUUACGCGCAUAGCACCGCGACUGUUCGACCUAUUUUCAUGAAAUUUGGCACAUAAUUAGUUCGUAGCAUAGGGGUCAUGGGGACAUCCGGGAAGGAAGUACUCAAUUCCUCUCUUUCAGAACAGUUUGUAUCUCUGAUGUAAAAGGAAAAAAGUCAUUGAUGUUGCAUUAGCUGAAGAAGAACUAUGUCCAUAUUAGUUUCGGUUUUCAUUAUUGGACUCGUCUUGGUUAAACAUGCACUUAGCCAAACUUGUGGGAUGCCUGUGGCGAAUACUUUCAGUACUCGUAUCAUGAAUGGAGUCAGAGUAAAAGGAGGUGACUUCCCUUGGAUGGCUGCUUUGUACGAAGGAGAAAACCUAAUAUGCUCGGCGUUUAUGAUUGACAGUCGACAUGCCUUAACGGCAGCCCAUUGUUUUGCAGACUUUGAAAAUUCUAAG